UUCUUCAGUUGUAAUCUUCUUCUCGUUUAAUGGAUCCAUCAUCAUCACCCGAGGAGGUAGGUCAUGUGAUUUGAUUGAACCUCGUUAAAUAUCUUGUGUUCAUGUUACACUGUUUCUGGUCAUUGUCUUCAUUCGGUUUCGGUCCUGGGCUAGGGAAUUCGGAGGGUGACCCAGAUUUCCUAACAAAUUCUUCACCAGUUCGAUGCCGCUUCCCAGUUUUGCUUGACGUUGUCUUGCCAACUUUAUUGGAAUUUAGUAGGGUCAAUAUUUAGUGUUUCCUACAUCGUCUACAUUCGAGUAACUUGUAUCGCUCAACCUUACUAACUUGAAUAAAAAAAUAGAAAAUAUCUACGAGGAUCGUUUAUAUUUUGAGUCAUUUUUUCAGAUUGUAAGGUAGCAUGUAAUGUUAACUAGUCUAAACGUCAAACUUUACACUAAUUAUGUAAUAUAAACGUGAAAAUAAUGAUUGUAUCAACCUAUCAUGGGUUGUAUGGAAAAAUGAGAGAGGUCAUUUGAACCCUCUCACUCUCAUGACCAUUGCUGCCUCAUAGUUUACUGGAGAUUUACUACUUCAAGAAGUUAUGAUCAGACGUUUUGGUCUAUCUUUUGUUAUAAGUGUGCUAUUUGUUACUUCUGUUUUGUAUUAUCAUCACUUGUGGCACUUCAGUAUGAAAUAUGAAUGCAAUGAAAAGGCAGCAGCUUUGUAAUGUUGGCAAAUGGCAGCUCUAGUACUUAGCAGUUAACCAAAAUUCACAAUUUCAAGUCUUCAAUAUGAAAUGUUGCAGGUUGCCAUCUCCAUUCAUAUUCUCACUAAACCAAUUGAACGUAGGCAGAUGCAGAUCAGGAGCCUAGAAGUCUGGGGUCACCAGAUCCUUUGAAGUUUGAACCAGAAUCACUAAGAUCACAAAACAAUAAACCCUCACAACCAUGUCCCAAUUAUUCACAAGUUCAAUUGGAUUAAGAGAAGCCAGUAUGAACAACACAAACACAAACACAGAAGCAGAAUCAGUACCAUAAAAUUCUCCAGACUACAAAAGAGAUCACAAGGUCCACAAAAUCUGCAAUCAUAUUGAAACACAACCCUUACAACUCAUGCAGAAGCAAGCAUGUAAAACAUAGCAUCACAGUUCUCUACUGCCCUGAAUUGGAAUCGGGAAAAGGACUAAACCACUCUGCACCAUCUUCUCCAAAGGCCAAAACAGUGGUUUGGGGAGGUCGUCCCACUCGUACCAACCCCAGCCCUCACACUUGUCCGGCUCAACAGUCUGGGGAACUUGAUCGGGAUCUUUCAUACCCGCGCGCAUGAAGAUGGUCACGUAAUGCGCCGGUUUGGGUUCGUCCAAGAACAAGUUGUUCGUCACCGUCACAAACUCGAGCUUGUCUACUUCCACACCAGUCUCUUCCUUCAGUUCUCUCGCCGCACACUCCUCAAAGCUCUCGCCUGUUCAAAAACAAAUCCCACAUCGGAUAACAUAAAGAAAGAUUGGAAUAAAGGGUAAAGCAACAUUGGAAUAAUGGUAUAUGACCUUGAAUUGUCCAUGCUAAACUCCAUGAUUUCCAAUAAAGACUAAGCAACAUUGCAACAAUAUCAAUCCAUGCCACCUUGUGCAGCUUGCAUGCAGUAGUGGAUGCUCAAACUAAUUCAUUUUGCUCCUUCUGUCAAAUAACUUAAUUUGCUGUCUCACUUAAAGUACAAUUGUCAUGAUAUGAUAUAUAGUUUUUUAUGUACCAUGUAAUAAUUGACUUGUUUUUAGCGUCAAUUUUGUUUUG
rnacentral:lncRNA from 1 species